rnacentral:rRNA from 1 species
GGUUCCUACGGGACGCAGCAGUGAGGAAUAUUGGUCAAUGGGAGAGAUCCUGAACCAGCCAAGCCGCGUGAGGGAAGACGGCCCUAUGGAUUGUAAACCUCUUUUGUCGGGGAGCAAAGAGACCACGUGUGGUCAAAAGCGAGAGUACCCGAAGAAAAAGCAUCGGCUAACUCCGUGCCAGCAGCCGCGGUAAUACGGAGGAUGCGAGCGUUAUCCGGAUUUAUUGGGUUUAAAGGGUGCGUAGGCGGGACGGUAAGUCAGCGGUAAAAAUGCGGAGCUCAACUCCGUCGAGCCGUUGAAACUGU